ACUCCUACGGGAGGCAGCAGUAGGGAAUUUUCGGCAAUGGGGAAACCCUGACCGAGCAACGCCGCGUGAGCGAAGAAGGCCUUCGGGUCGUAAAGCUCUGUUGUAAAGGAAGAACGGCGCAUACAGGAAAUGGUAUGCGAGUGACGGUACUUUACCAGAAAGCCACGGCUAACUACGUGC
rnacentral:rRNA from 1 species